rnacentral:tRNA from 1 species
GAGGGUGUAGCUCAGUGGUAGAGUGAGUGCCUAGCAUGCAUGAGGUCCUGGGUUCAAUCCCCAGUACCUCCA